rnacentral:rRNA from 1 species
AGAGUUUGAUCCUGGCUCAGGACGAACGCUGACGGUGUGCUUUAGGCAUGCAAGUCGAACGAGAAAGCCCUUCGGGGUGAGUAAAGUGGCGAACGGGUGAGUAACACGUGGGCAACCUGCCCCUCGCAGGGGGACAACCGGAGGAAACUCCGGCUAAUACCCCGUAAGCUCUACACGCCGCAUGGGAGUAGAGGAAAGGUAGCUUCGGCCAUCCGGCGAGGGAUGGGCCCGCGGUGCAUUAGCUAGUUGGUGGGGUAACGGCCCACCAAGGCGACGAUGCGUAGCUGGUCUGAGAGGAUGAUCAGCCACACUGGGACUGAGACACGGCCCAGACUCCUACGGGAGGCAGCAGCCAGGAAUCUUGGGCAAUGGGCGAAAGCCUGACCCAGCAACACCGUGUGGGUGAUGAAGGCCUUCGGGUCGUAAAGCCCUGUUGAUAGGGACGAAGGGCGAAGGGUUAAUAGCCCGGAGCUUGACGGUACCUUUCGAGGAAGCCCCGGCUAACUACGUGCCAGCAGCCGCGGUAAUACGUAGGGGGCGAGCGUUGUCCGGAAUUAUUGGGCGUAAAGAGCGUGUAGGCGGUUCGGUAAGUCUGUCGUGAAAUCCUGGGGCUCAACCCUGGGCGUGCGAUGGAUACUGCCGGGCUAGAGGGUGGUAGAGGCGAGUGGAAUUCCCGGUGUAGCGGUGAAAUGCGCAGAUAUCGGGAGGAACACCAGUAGCGAAGGCGGCUCGCUGGGCCACACCUGACGCUGAGACGCGAAAGCUAGGGGAGCGAACAGGAUUAGAUACCCUAGUAGUCC